AAUAUUGGUCAAUGGGCGAGAGCCUGAACCAGCCAAGUCGCGUGAGGGAAGACGGUCCUAAGGAUUGUAAACCUCUUUUGUCGGGGAGCAAAGACAGGUACGUGUACCUGGAAGAGAGUACCCGAAGAAAAAGCAUCGGCUAACUCCGUGCCAGCAGCCGCGGUAAUACGGAGGAUGCGAGCGUUAUCCGGAUUUAUUGGGUUUAAAGGGUGCGCAGGCGGAAAGGAAGGUCAGCGGUAAAAUGUCGGUGCUCAACACAGGCCGGCCGUUGAAACUUCCCUUCUAGAGUGGGCGAGAAGUAUGCGGAAUGCGUGGUGUAGCGGUGAAAUGCAUAGAUAUCACGCAGAACUCCGAUUGCGAAGGCAGCAUACCGGCGCCCGACUGACGCUCAUGCACGAAAGCGUGGGGAUCAAA
rnacentral:rRNA from 1 species